rnacentral:rRNA from 1 species
UUGAACGCGGAAAGGACCUUACCAAAUCUUGACAUCCUCUGACCCCUCUAGAGAUAGAGUAUUCCCCUUCGGGGGACAGAGUGACAGGUGGUGCAUGGUUGUCGUCAGCUCGUGUCGUGAGAUGUUGGGUUAAGUCCCGCAACGAGCGCAACCCUUAAGCUUAGUUGCCAUCAUUAAGUUGGGCACUCUAAGUUGACUGCCGGUGACAAACCGGAGGAAGGUGGGGAUGACGUCAAAUCAUCAUGCCCCUUAUGAUUUGGGCUACACACGUGCUACAAUGGACAAUACAAAGGGCAGCGAAACCGCGAGGUCAAGCAAAUCCCAUAAAGUUGUUCUCAGUUCGGAUUGUAGUCUGCAACUCGACUAUAUGAAGCUGGAAUCGCUAGUAAUCGUAGAUCAGCAUGCUACGGUGAAUACGUUCCCGGGUCUGGUACACACGCA